rnacentral:misc_RNA from 1 species
GAUGAAGAACGCAGCGAAACGCGAUAUGUAAUGUGAAUUGCAGAAUUCAGUGAAUCAUCGAAUCUAUGAACGCACAUGGCGCCUUCCAGUAUCCUGGGAGGCAUGCCUGUCCGAGCGUCGUUUCAACCCUCGAGCCCCCGUGGCCCGGCGUUGGGGAUCUGCCCAGGCAGUCCCCGAAAACCAGUGGCGGACCCGUUACAGGCCCUUCCCUUGCGUAGUAGCAUUCGCCUCGCAUCGGGAGCCGGCGGGCUUCCAGCCUCUAAACCCCCAUCAAGUCCGCCCCGGCGGCACCAAGGUUGACCUCGGAUCAGGUAGGAAUACCCGCUGAACUUAAGCAUAUCAAUAAGCGGAGGA